rnacentral:rRNA from 1 species
GACAGAGGGUGCAAACGUUGUUCGGAAUUACUGGGCGUAAAGCGCGUGUAGGCGGCCCUGCAAGUCGGAUGUGAAAUCCCACGGCUCAACCGUGGAAGUGCAUUCGAAACUGCAGGGCUAGAGUCCUGGAGAGGAAGGUGGAAUGCUUGGUGUAGAGGUGAAAUUCGUAGAUAUCAAGCGGAACACCGGUGGCGAGGGCGGCCUUCUGGACAGUGACUGACGCUGAGACGCGAAAGCGUGGGGAGCAAACAGG